GGGGUGUGGGCGGUGCGGGUGGCACCGGCGCGAGCGCGCGUGGAGGCGGCACUCGGGAGGCAGCGAUCCGAGCUGCAGGCCCUCAAGGGUCCCUCAGGAGUGCGCGACAGGGGCCGGUGGCUCCCGCGCUAUUGCAGAGUGCUCCGCAUGCUGCCAUGUCCCCAUCAUGGCUGAAGGCAGAGGCAGCAGCACAGAGGAGCCUGGAGACAGGAAGACUGAAGGUCCCCUGGAGUCCCUCUGGAUCCUGCACAGAAAGAGGACACUAGGGGAAGCUGUGUGGAGCUUCCUGGUGCUGCAGAAGGGGCAGACCGGGACAGGACUGGCUCAUCGCGUCCACAGUCCUACAACGGGACCUAGUGUGGCCCAGGCAGAGAAAAGGAAGGGUGCCGCUUCCACCCAGAGCCACCUGCAAGGCCUGCCAGGCAGGGCCUUUCUAACAUGGAGAGCGUGAAGAAGAGCCGGGACAGUGAGCCUGGCACGUCUGGUCAGACAGGAAGAUGACUGUGAGGAAAACUGGUGGAGUGCUAAGUUGGGAAUGUCAUUUCUCCAGCAGGCUCACUUCUCUCAAGGUUGAGAGACAGAGAUGUUUGUAGAGUAGUGUAGGAAACUAUCUGUCCCCCACCCUAGCCCCCGUCCCUGCCUGGAAACCAUGACUCUAAAAGAAUAUGCGAGACAUUUCACCCCCUAUCCAACCAAAGGUCGGCUGUACAACCUUUCCAAAUGUCACUCCAACCACUGCUGGCAGAACCCCGGAGAUGCCAAGCACCUCGGUUCUGCUGUCGACUCUCACCCCAAGCUGCAGGGGGGUUUUGUUUGUUUUGUUUUUUGUCUUUUUUGUUUUUCUGCAGGAGCUAACGAAAUUCUUUGUGCACAGCCUGAGGAGUUGGCUUUCUGAGCCUUGGAGCUGCUGGUGUGGGACUCUGGUGUUUUUCCUGCCUUCCUGGGCUCCAAGACAUCCUAAGGAGAAAACCCCAUGCUCAGACACUUAGGCAGGACAGUUCCAGGACACUGGGAUUAAGCGGUGGUACCCGGCAGUUUCCUCAGACAGGUCGGGGCACUGCAUCCACUGCUGCUGUUAACCCGGGAGGUCCAGCGCCUGGCUCCUGGGGGUCCAGCUUGGCUGCCUUUUCCUAGGCCCCCCUCAGGCCUUGGCUCUUACAAUAGACUGCCACUUCUGGGACCCUU
rnacentral:lncRNA from 1 species